ACGACUGUUAAUACCGCAUAGUAUCUGUGGAUUAAAGGUGGCUUUUGGGCUGUCGCAGAUGGAUGAGCCUGCGUUGGAUUAGCUAGUUGGUGGGGUAAGGGCCUACCAAGGCUACGAUCCAUAGCUGAUUUGAGAGGAUGAUCAGCCACAUUGGGACUGAGACACGGCCCAAACUCCUACGGGAGGCAGCAGUGAGGAAUAUUGGACAAUGGGGGCAACCCUGAUCCAGCAAUGCCAUGUGUGUGAAGAAGGCCUUAGGGUUGUAAAGCACUUUAGUUGGGGAAGAAAGCUUUGAGGUUAAUAGCCUUGAGGAAGGACGUUACCCAAAGAAUAAGCACCGGCUAACUCCGUGCCAGCAGCCGCGGUAAUACGGGGGGUGCAAGCGUUAAUCGGAAUUACUGGGCGUAAAGAGUCUGUAGGUGGUUUGUUAAGUCAGAUGUGAAAGCCCAGGGCUCAACCUUGGAACUGCAUUUGAUACUGGCAAACUAGAGUACGGUAGAGGAAUGGGGAAUUUCUGGUGUAGCGGUGAAAUGCGUAGAGAUCAGAAGGAACACCAAUGGCGAAGGCAACAUUCUGGACCGAUACUGACACUGAGGGACGAAAGCGUGGGGAUCAAACAGGAUUAGAUACCCUGGUAGUCCACGCUGUAAACGAUGAGUACUAGCUGUUGGAGUCGGUGUAAAGGCUCUAGUGGCGCAGCUAACGCGAUAAGUACUCCGCCUGGGGACUACGGCCGCAAGGCUAAAACUCAAAGGAAUUGACGGGGACCCGCACAAGCGGUGGAGCAUGUGGUUUAAUUCGAUGCAACGCGAAGAACCUUACCUGGUCUUGACAUCCUGCGAACUUUCUAGAGAUAGAUUGGUGCCUUCGGGAACGCAGUGACAGGUGCUGCACGGCUGUCGUCAGCUCGUGUUGUGAAA
rnacentral:rRNA from 1 species